rnacentral:rRNA from 1 species
GAAUAUUGCACAAUGGGGGAAACCCUGAUGCAGCCAUGCCGCGCGUGUGAAGAAGGCUCUAGGGUUGUAAAGCACUUUCAGUGGGGAGGAAAGGAUGUACGUUAAUACCGUGCAUCUAUGACGUUACCCACAGAAGAAGCACCGGCUAACUCCGUCCCAGCCGCCGCGGUAAUACGGAGGGUGCAAGCGUUAAGCGGAAUUACUGGGCGUAAAGCGCGCGUAGGCGGCUACCUAAGCUAGAUGUGAAAGCCCCGGGCUCAACCUGGGAACUGCAUUUAGAACUGGGUGGCUAGAGUACAGCAGAGGAGUGUGGAAUUUCAGGUGUAGCGGUGAAAUGCGUAGAGAUCUGAAGGAACAUCAGUGGCGAAGGCGACACUCUGGGUUGAUACUGACGCUGAGGUGCGAAAGCGUGGGGAGCAAACAGG